UACGUAGGGUGCAAGCGUUGUCCGGAAUUAUUGGGCGUAAAGAGCUCGUAGGCGGUUUGUCGCGUCGAAUGUGAAAACCCGGGGCUCAACCCCGGGCCUGCAUUCGAUACGGGCAGACUAGAGUUCGGUAGGGGAGUCUGGAAUUCCUGGUGUAGCGGUGGAAUGCGCAGAUAUCAGGAGGAACACCGAUGGCGAAGGCAGGUCUCUGGGCAUUAACUGACGCUGAGGAGCGAAAGCAUGGGGAGCGAACAGG
rnacentral:rRNA from 1 species